AUUGAACGCUGGCGGCAUGCCUUACACAUGCAAGUCGAACGGCAGCGGACCUUCGGGUGCCGGCGAGUGGCGAACGGGUGAGUAAUGUAUCGGAACGUACCUUUCAGUGGGGGAUAACGUAGCGAAAGUUACGCUAAUACCGCAUAUUCUGUGAGCAGGAAAGCAGGGGAUCGCAAGACCUUGCGCUGAUUGAGCGGCCGAUAUCAGAUUAGCUAGUUGGUGAGGUAAAGGCACACCAAGGCGACGAUCUGUAGCGGGUCUGAGAGGAUGAUCCGCCACACUGGAACUGAGACACGGUCCAGACUCCUACGGGAGGCAGCAGUGGGGAAUUUUGGACAAUGGGGGCAACCCUGAUCCAGCCAUGCCGCGUGAGUGAAGAAGGCCUUCGGGUUGUAAAGCUCUUUCGUCCGGGAAGAAAUCGCAUCAGCUAAUACCUGGUGUGGAUGACGGUACCGGAAUAAGAAGCACCGGCUAACUACGUACCAGCCGCCGCAGUAAGAC
rnacentral:rRNA from 1 species